UGAUACAAGUUAAGAUAUGAACGGAUUAUGUCAACGGGCCUUUAGAGAGAACUAGCCAAAAACCAAAAGAGUCCACUUUCAGCUGAGACUCCUGUCAAAUUCCUGCUGUAUUUCACUCCCAAGGUAGCAGAGAAAGCCGUAGCGAUGGCCGAAAGCCAAGCCUGCAAGAAGCCCAGGAUCUUGUGCCUCCACGGUUUUAGGAUGAGCGCUAAGAUCCUCGAGACGCAGUUCCAUCAGUGGCCUGAAUCCGUCCUGGAGAAGCUGGAUCUAGUGUUCCUCGACGCCCCGUACCCGUCCAGAGGCAAGUCCGGCGUGGAGGGCAUCUUCGAUCCUCCCUACUUCGAGUGGUUCCAGGGCAAUCAGGAUUAUACCGAGUACGAGAACUUUGAAGAGUGCAUCGCCUUCAUCGAAGAUUUCAUGGUGAAGAACGGUCCCUUUGAUGGUUUACUGGGUUUUUCCCAGGGAGCAGUUCUGUCUGCUGCAUUGCCAGGAAUGCAGGAGGAGGGAUUGGUACUCACAAAGGUGCCCAAAAUCAAGUUUGUGAUUCUAGUUUGCGGGGCAAAGUUGGGCGGAGCAAAAUUGAGUGCGCCUAGGCUGGCCGCCAACGCAUUUUCAGCUCCUAUCGAGUGCCCUUCUCUUCAUAUUAUUGCUCCCACAUUAGUGUCCUUGCAUUACACGAUGUUGAAGGAGUCCUGGACCGUAGUAAGUCAUCAAGCCAAUUGUUCUGAAGGAGCUUAUGAACCAACAUUUUCACUCCAUUUUAUUGAAAAUUAGUCAUGUGUACUCGCACGUUGUGCGGAAGAAGCAUCUUUUUCGUACAUUACUCCGAUGAAAAAGGCGAGACCGAUAUAGUGAAGACAGAGGGAAUUGCUCUGCUUGAUUCAUUUGUAGAUCCCCUGGUCAUUCAUCACCCGGAGGGCCACACAGUCCCCAACCUUGAUGAUCAGAGCCUAGAGAUUGUGCACAAUUUCAUUGAGAAGAUCCAAAA